GAUCAUGGCUCAGGAUGAACGCUAGCGGCAGGCUUAACACAUGCAAGUCGAGGGGCAGCGCGAGGUAGCAAUACUUGGCGGCGACCGGCGGAAGGGUGCGUAACGCGUGAGCAACAUGCCCGUAUGAGGGGGAUAAGCGAUGGAAACGUCGUCUAAUACCCCGUAACACAGGAGAUCGCAUGAUCAUCUGUUGAAAGAUUUAUCGCAUACGGAUUGGCUCGCGUGACAUUAGCUAGUCGGCGGGUAACGGCCCACCGAGGCGACGAUGUCUAGGGUUCUGAGAGGAAGGUCCCCCACACUGGAACUGAGACACGGUCCAGACUCCUACGGGAGGCAGCAGUGAGGAAUAUUGGUCAAUGGGCGGAAGCCUGAACCAGCCAUGCCGCGUGAAGGAAUAAGGCCCUAUGGGUCGUAAACUUCUUUUGACGGGGAGCAAUAAGGGUCACGUGUGGCCCGAUGAGAGUACUCGUCGAAUAAGCAUCGGCUAACUCCGUGCCAGCCGCCGC
rnacentral:rRNA from 1 species